UUGAGCAGUCAUAACCACCUCAAGCACACUCAAUUUCAUCUAAUUUCAGAAGCCAAACAGGGUCAGUCCUGACUAGUGCUUGGAUGAGAGGCCACCAAGGAAUACCAGGGAUCUCCAG
rnacentral:rRNA from 1 species